GACGAACGCUGGCGGCGUGCUUAACACAUGCAAGUCGAACGGUAAGGCCCUUCGGGGUACACGAGUGGCGAACGGGUGAGUAACACGUGGGUGAUCUGCCCUGCACUUCGGGAUAAGCCUGGGAAACUGGGUCUAAUACCGGAUAGGACUCCGGACUGCAUGGUCUUGGGUGGAAAGGUUUUGCGGUGUGGGAUGGGCCCGCGGCAUAUCAGGUUGUUGGGGGGGUGAUGGCCUACCAAGGCGACGACGGGUAGCCGGCCUGAGAGGGUGACCGGCCACACUGGGACUGAGAUACGGCCCAGACUCCUACGGGAGGCAGCAGUGGGGAAUAUUGCACAAUGGGCGCAAGCCUGAUGCAGCGACGCCGCGUGAGGGAUGACGGCCUUCGGGUUGUAAACCUCUUUCAGCAUCGACGAAGCGAAAGUGACGGUAGGUGCAGAAGAAGGACCGGCCAACUACGUGCCAGCCGCCGCAGUAA
rnacentral:rRNA from 1 species